AUCGUUAUUGUGUUAUCAAUGUACUACACCGAUUCACCAUUCAUCAUUUUAACGUCCAUCAAAUUUGAGGAUUUGUUUCAUGUGUCUAAACACUAGAGUGCUUGAAACUGUGAAUGCAUUAUGGAUUUUUCAUGACAAAUUUAAUUUGUCAUCGGAUUAUUUAUUAUGUAUUGCUCACCAAAACAAAAUCAAGUUGAACAGUAUCGCACAAUGCAAGAGUGACACAAAUGUUAAAAUCGGUCACAUACAGAAUAAGGUAUCAUGUCCACAUCCAUAUGUGGCUUAACGACAGAAUAUUUGCAAAAUAAUUUCCACGUGGUUCCUGAAGAAAUGUUCCACAAAUUAAAUUGUUAUACAUAUCUAAGGAAUUAAUCACCAUCAUGGCAUCACUUUCAAAAACAAAAUUAGUUAAACAGAGUUACCACACUACGCAAGACGAAAUAAAUGUUGUUUUCUCCGGAACUCUUUAAAUGCGAGUAAAUCAAUCAAUAAUAACUGUCAAAUUUGAGUAUAUUGUGACUAUAUGUAUUUCCCAAUUGUAUCAGCAAAUGAAAAUUUAUAUUUUUUGAUACAUGUACUGUGUACAUUUAAAAAAGUAUGGAAUAAUAAAUACUUAUGUUGUACAUUUUUGAACGGGCUACACAAUAGAUAAUAGCUUUUAUGAAACAUGAAAUAUCAAGUCGGACUACCACUUUUGUAAAUUAUGCAGACGAACUUUG